rnacentral:rRNA from 1 species
CUAUACAUGACUCUGCGCAUAUCAAUAAGCGGAGGAAAAGAAACUAACAAGGAUUCCCCUAGUAACGGCGAGUGAAGCGGGAAGAGCUCAAAUUUGAAAUCUUCAAGGGUUUCCCUUUACGAAUUGUAGUUUAAAGAAGUGUUUUCUGUUAGAGAGUUCGGUAAAAGUUCUUUGGAAUAGGACAUCAUAGAGGGUGAGAAUCCCGUAUUUGAUCACUUUCUACUAACUUUGUGAUACACUUUCAAAGAGUCGGAUUGUUUGGGAAUGCAGUCCAAAAUGGGUGGUAAAUUUCAUCUAAAGCUAAAUAUUGGCGAGAGACCGAUAGCGAACAAGUACCGUGAGGGAAAGAUGAAAAGAACUUUGAAAAGAGAGUUAAACAGUACGUGAAAUUGUCAAAAGGGAAGCGUUUGACACCAGUGUUGUUUUUCUCGAAAAUCAAUUAAUGAAUGGCUUGAUGUUGUAGUUGUCAUGACCUUAUAAGCUUGUUGCACUUAUUUUUCCUUAUCUUUCUUAAUGCACUUUUCGUUUAACAAGUCAACAUCAAUUUCUCUUGUUGUAAAAGAGUUAAUAGGAAGGUGGCUUUACUUUCGGAGUAAAGUGUUUAUAGCCUUUAGGCUCUGCAAUCGGAGAGAUUGAGGUCUGCAGCGUAGAUCCUUCGGGGUUAGAUACAUUUGUGCUAAGUUAUAGCCUUUCAUAGACAACUUGUUGACUAUGAUUAGUCAUUGUAGCUUACUCGCUUACUGCUAUUUUACCUACGCUUAGGAUGUUGAUAUGCAUGACUGAUAU